GACGAACGCUGGCGGUGUGCUUCACACAUGCAAGUCGAACGAGGUAGCAAUACCUAGUGGCGGACGGGUGAGUAACGCGUGGGAAUCUGCCUUUAGAUGGGGGAUAACGGGUCGAAAGACUCGCUAAUACCGCAUAUGACGAAAGUUGAAAGGAGUAAUCCGUCUAAAGAUGAGCCCGCGUCCGAUUAGCUAGUUGGUAGAGUAAAAGCCUACCAAGGCGACGAUCGGUAGCUGGUCUGAGAGGAUGAUCAGCCACAAUGGGACUGAGACACGGCCCAUACUCCUACGGGAGGCAGCA
rnacentral:rRNA from 1 species